CACGGAGAACAUGAAACAAUGGGUGUUACCAUACACACUGUAACCAGAGCAAUCAGCUGCAAUUGAAGUCAACAGGAGUUGUGCUCUGCCUAUAUCAAUGCUACAUGAAAAAUCAGGCACUAAGUGACUCAAAUUGGGCACCCAAAGAGCUGUACAAACAUGAGGGAAGACAUCGUCCUUAACCCAAGAGGCUUAAAUAUACUUUGGGAAGAUGCAACAAGUAAAUGUGACAAACAACAAGAGGAAAAAAGAAGGACUGAUAUAGGUAACAAUAAGUUCACAUGGUUUCUAAAGGCUAGCUCUGUGCAAAACUUCUGAAAAAUUUCAAUGUACCACACAUGGGUGUUCUCUCUCUGUCAUUGUGUUAUAUUUUCUCUCUCUCUCACACACACAUAUACAUUAAUAAA